rnacentral:rRNA from 2 species
UGGGGAAUAUUGCACAAUGGGGGAAACCCUGAUGCAGCAACGCCGCGUGAAGGAUGAAGGUUUUCGGAUCGUAAACUUCUAUCAACAGGGAAGAAACAAAUGACGGUACCUGAAUAAGAAGCCCCGGCUAACUACGUGCCAGCAGCCGCGGUAAUACGUAGGGGGCAAGCGUUAUCCGGAAUUACUGGGUGUAAAGGGAGCGUAGGCGGCAUGUCAAGCCAGAUGUGAAAGCCCGGGGCUUAACCCCGUGGAUUGCAUUUGGAACUGGCAAGCUAGAGUACAGGAGAGGAAAGCGGAAUUCCUAGUGUAGCGGUGAAAUGCGUAGAUAUUAGGAAGAACACCAGUGGCGAAGGCGGCUUUCUGGACUGAAACUGACGCUGAGGCUCGAAAGCGUGGGGAGCAAACAGG